UACGGAGGGGGCAAGCGUUGUUCGGAAUUACUGGGCGUAAAGCGCACGUAGGCGGUUUUGUAAGUCUGGGGUCAAAGGCGACAGCUCAACUGUCGUAAGGCCUUAGAUACUAUAGAACUGGAGUGCCAGAGAGGAUGGCGGAAUUCCCGGUGUAGCGGUGAAAUGCGUAGAUAUCGGGAGGAAGGCCGGUGGAGAAGUCGGUCUCCUGGGCCGUUCCUGACGCUGAGGCCCGAAAGCUAGGGGAGCAAACCGG
rnacentral:rRNA from 1 species